rnacentral:rRNA from 1 species
AUUGAAGGCUGGCGGCAGGCCUAACACAUGCAAGUCGAGCGGCAGCGGAAAGUAGCUUGCUACUUUGCCGGCGAGCGGCGGACGGGUGAGUAAUGUCUGGGAAACUGCCUGAUGGAGGGGGAUAACUACUGGAAACGGUAGCUAAUACCGCAUAACGUCGCAAGACCAAAGAGGGGGACCUUCGGGCCUCUUGCCAACAGCUGUGCCCAGAUGGGAUUAGCUAGUAGGUGGGGUAACGGCUCACCUAGGCGACGAUCCCUAGCUGGUCUGAGAGGAUGACCAGCCACACUGGAACUGAGACACGGUCCAGACUCCUACGGGAGGCAGCAGUGGGGAAUAUUGCACAAUGGGCGCAAGCCUGAUGCAGCCAUGCCGCGUGUAUGAAGAAGGCCUUCGGGUUGUAAAGUACUUUCAGCGGGGAGGAAGGUGCUGAGGUUAAUAACCUCAGCAAUUGACGUUACCCGCAGAAGAAGCACCGGCUAACUCCGUGCCAGCCGCCGCAGUAACAC